AUUGAACCCAGGGAAGUUCUACCACUUAGAUACAUCCCCAGCCCCAUCUAGUUUUUAUUUUUAAAACGUGUGUUGCUUACCUGUUUAAGCUGGCCCCAAACGUGGGAUCCUCCUGUCUCAGUUUCCUGAGUAGCUGGAAUAACAGGCUUGAGCCACUGUGCCCAAACAUUAACUCUUAAUUUUAGAGCAACAAACUUCACAAUAAUCAGCUGGCAAAUCUGAAAUAUAAAGGACAGGCUAGAAAUUAAGGCAAGAGUUGAUGUAUUCUUGAAUCUUAAAGGCUAGAAAUGGGCUGGGCAUGGAAGUGCAUGCCUAUAAUCCCAGCAGCUUGGGAGGCUGAGACAGGAGGCUCAAAGUUCAAAGCAAGAAACAACUCAGUUAGACCCUGUCUCUAAAUAAAAUACAAAAUAGGGCUGGGGGAUGUUGCUCAGUGGUUGAGUGCUCCUGAGUUAAAUCCCCAGUAAAAAAAAAAAAAAAAAAAAAAAGCUAAAAAUGGGCAGAAUUUCUAUCCAUGUUUGCUUCUGCAGGCAGAAUCCUUCUUUGGAGAACCUCAAUAUUCCUCAUAAGACCUUCAGGAGAUUUGAUGUGGCUCACCCACAUUAUGGAAGCUAAUCUGCUUUAUUCAAAGUCUGCUGAUGUAAAUAUCAACCGCAUCUAAAAAAUUCCUUCUUAGCAACAUCUGGGCUGGUAUUUGGCCAAACAACUGGGCAUGAUGGCCUAGCUAAGCUGACACAUAAAUUUAACCAUCACAAAUGGCAAGAGAAACUGAACUUGGUAUGAAAGAGAAAUUCAAUUGGUGUAUCCAUUUUUAGUUGUGGGUAGGAUAAGAGAGUUGGCAGGUGGAACUGCCCCAGAGGAGUCCCCUGGGAAAUUUCUACAGGAAGAAGAAUCUGUGCUGCCCUUCCUGCCUCCCAGAACAAAGGUCUUCUCCCAGGGCAAGUGUGCACUUGGGAACCGAACACUGUUGGGAAUGAGAAGGAGUAAUAACCAGCAGACAUGAUCAUUUCA
rnacentral:lncRNA from 1 species